GAACGCGGUUCCGCUACCGAGCGCGCUGACGGUGCAGCUGAGAUUUCGGACAGAGAGAGAGAGAGAGAGAGAGAUUUCGUGAGGACGGAGUGUAACCGCUGUGCGACUCGUGAUGCCGCGCACAGCAGCCUUCUCACCCAGCUGCUCAAUCAUAAAUAAACGCGCCGCCUGUUGACCUUCUGCUCGGUUUCAGGGGCGACCUGGAUGUCCUAGUAAACAUUUUUUUGCGCAGAGAAGAAUGUGAAAUAGUGCGCUGGUUAUUAUUAGGGCGGCGUUUGUGAGGAUUGCAAACUUUCUGUGAGACUCUUAACACCGGAUAUUCCUGCUGCUGCUGCUGUUUAGUAGUGGAUGUUUGGGGCACGCGCGCGAUGAGGACUCUGAGGUAAAGGCUUUUCUCUCUCUCAGUGAUGGCCUCUCUGGUGCAGCUGUUCAUAGACACGCCUCAUCUGGAAAACGUUUAGAACUCUGACGACAUCCGCGCACACACACUUUGGACAUCACAACACACUCCUGCUUAGCCAUGUAUAGUGUGGAGGACCUUCUUAUCUCUCAUGGAUACAAAAUCAGCAGCAACAACAACGUCCCUCCAUCGCACUCAUCCUCACCCUCGUCCCAUGAACAGCGGCCGGCGACGCGCAGUAACAGUCGGUGUGAAAUCACAGACAAGCGGAGGGGACAUGGCGCAGUGAACGGCUACAAAGCGGACUGCGUUUACGGUGGUGAUGUGAGACAGACUUCAUCUCGGAGUGGCCCCAGUGACACAGAGAUCAGAGACAAGAACCAGAGGACAGAGGAGGACAAUGCUAACCUAGUAGAUGGACACUCACCAGGAGGCACCUUGACCAGUGACAGCGGAUUCCAUGAUGCCCACAGAGAAAUGUACACUCAUCCAAGGCCAGAGCAUGAUGUUGCUUACUGGCGAAGACGGGGUCAAGACUUCAACAUGCUCCUGGACUACGUGGACAUCAGGGAGCCACAGGGAAAGCAAUUAGGUGGUCACCAUAAAGCACAGGGCAUGCAACGAAGGCCAGAGUCAGCAUUAACCACUGAAGAGCAUCGUCGUGAGAGACAGCGCAGAGCAGACAGUGCACGUGCCAGAGAGCGUGAACUGGCCCUCUACCAGUGGAAAAUGGCAGCAGAGAGGAAGUACCAAAGCCUGGGCACAGAAGAGUGGCGUCCAGCUGUAGGAAUAGGUCAACAUAUGUCUGAAAGUGAAGGUGAAAGAUGGGCACAGGAGCAGCGGCGGCCUCGCACAGCAGAAGGUGCUGUUCCUCCCAGGACCAAAGCCAAAUCCCAGUCCCUGCCAAGAAUGGCCAUGCCCUCAGACAGUAUCCAGUACUUAAGCAUAUCAUCCUCUGGCCAUGACCCAUGUGGAAGCUAUCGAACAAAUGGGCACCAGUCACGGGUGCCUCAAGGUCGCAGUCUCAGUGAAGGGGAAAGUAGGGAGCGAUGGAUUGACAAUAGCCGGUCAGGUGUACAGUCUGCACCCCCAUCAAAGCCCCGUUUUAGCCGACCUCUUAGACCUCCAUCAUAUGAAGUUCACCAGCAGAUGCGAGGAAGUUCAGAGAUGCUCUCUGGUGAGUUUGUGCCCCACCCCAGAGACAGAACUCCACUGCCUUUUUCCAGACAGGAUUAUUUUGCACAGGAACUUGGAGGGUCUGGCAUGGAGCCCCCAGGUUACAUCCCUCCACCAUCUUACAGGAGGCAACCUGUCAUCAGGGGAGGGCACAGGACUUAUGCCAAUUCCAUGGGGAACUACCAGUACAGGGGAGACCCAUAUAUGCAAGGGCCUGCCAUGGCCGAGGUCCAGGAGUGGUUCAUGAGACAGACAGGGAUGGCUUGGCCUGACAAUUACAGGGAUGGGAGGAGGAGUAUGCCCUGUAGGAGACAGGCAUACCCUGGUUAUGGGGAGGAGCACAUAGGGAAUGUUCAGUACAUACCCUUUGAUGACCCACGAGUCAGACAUAUUUCAGGAGGGAGAAUGGAUGGGAACUCGCUGACCGAUGCUGACAAAAUCAGGAAUAUCAGAAAAGACGUCCCCAUCACCUCCACAUCUGAGAAGUCUCCUGAUGACAGUGCCUUUCUGUUCUCAGGAAAACCAUUCAGCAACACAGAAGCAAGUAACAGCAAUAUCAGUGAUUGUGUUAAUGAAGCAGUCAUGCAUAAGGAGGUGUCAGGAGAGGUGAUCAACUCAAAAUCAACAAAUGAUGAAAACUCCAACAGGUACCCAGCCAUCCCUGACUAUCUAAAUUCCUUCCAAAUAACAUCACAACAUCAAACAUCCCAACAGAAACCCAGCAUAGACCAACAAUUCUGUGAUACAGUAACACAAGUAAAGACAUUUGAGGCUCAAACAGCAGCUGAAAAUAAGAAAAACAAGAAGAAAAUUAAAGAGACUAUGUUCUGUUUAGUGUCAGUUCCAAUAAACGUGGUAGCCAACAAAGAAGCUAUUGAUCCAAAUAACAAUGAAAAAAUAUCAAGCUUAGUGGUGAUACCUACAGAAAAUUCAGUGACCCAACUCUGUAGCAAAGACAUGCCAAAGACUGCAAACAGCAGUGAGCAAUUAAUACAAUCCAGCAGCUCACUGAACACAAAAAGGACCAAAAGAGCUCCACUUCGGAAAGAGAUCAUAGACGUUUGGUCUCUCCAAGCAAGUGCUGACAAAGAAUUGUGCUAUGCAGGAUCCUGGCCAGGUGAUCAAUAUAAAAAUCAAGAGACUCAGACAGGUUCUCUUGAGGGUUCAAGAAAUACAACUGUACAAAAUCCUCAAACCCAGGUUACAUAUGACCCUCUAUCAUCCACAGACAGUGGGCUGGGGACUGAAUGCAGUGUCAACAAGUGUCCCGUAAAAGUCCAAAAGAAUUUCAACCUUUCCAGCAAUAGUGCAUUUUCCCAAACAAAAACAGCUAGCAGCUCAAGUACAAAAAGCCCAGUUCAACUCAUAACAGCUCCAUCACCACCAUCUCCUGAUCGCCAGCUCCUACUGAGAAAGAGUGCACCCAAACCCCAAGCACUAAAUGGCCAAGAAGCCUUUGGCCAGUUCUUGUUAAAACCUGUAAACAGGAGACCAUGGGAUGCCAUUGGGGAACUUGAAUCUUUUAACAAGGAGCUGCAGGAUCAAAAUGCCAAACAACAAACCACUGAUCAGGCUAUAGAGGACCUUGAUGAGGCAUUGAAAAGCAUUUUAGAGGUAGACACCACAAUCAUGGAGUUCAGUAGACCUGAGUUGGCUACACAUAGGGUUAAACAGCAACAUACAGAAAGAAGUCCUGAGCGACAGUUAAAGAAUGACAACUUAGAUUUCAGGUCAGAUUUAGAGCACAGUGGUGUGACUCAAAUAGGUAAAGAUUUCAGGGAAGUAGGAAGUGCCUUCUCUACACUAGUGGGUCAGUUUGUAAAUCCUGCCAUACCACCAAGACAAGAGAUGGACAGUGGGUUUGUCAAUUAUGAGGUCUUGAGUAUGACGCAGGAUGACCUGAUGGUGAACAGGUUGGAUAUUACAGUGCCAAAGGAAUCGUUACUGAAGGAUGUUGGACUUACAGUGUACACAGUGAUCCCAGACUCAGUGAAACUGGAAUCACCUGUAGGUUUAAGCCCAGAGUCUCCAAUGCUGACAAGUCCCUCUGACAACUCAGAAACAUGUGAGGCUUCACAGAUCACGUCUUCAGAUAGUGGAGGAGAUCAAAAUACAAACAGCCCUGACUUUAGUUCAAAGCAUAAGCAUUCAAACAGUAAUAUAAGCUUUGCUAAUAAACCUGACCAGAAGAAAGCGUCAGAGAACAGCAAAGUUAUCACUGGCUCAGAAAGGUCACUUCACAUUCAUGGUGUCAGAAGUCAGCAGUUCACAUUUAUGCCAAACCCUGAUAAUGCUGAUUAUGACGAUGAUCCGUAUCUGAGCAAUGAAAAAACAAUAGCAGAUGAACAUCUGGAGGCUCUUCUGAGUCAAGAGAAAGCUAAUAGCAUGCCAACAGAAGAUCUUAGCAAUCUGUAUCAAAUUCAGUGUGCCAAAGGAAUUCCUGUGCACGAGUCCAUUGAACAGAGGGCAGCCAGGAUCCUGGGCAUUGUUGUACCAGCUGAAGCCUUGGUUGUCAGUCAGGAUGGUUGCAAACAGGAUCAGGAAGAUGAGCACGGUGACGAACCGAGUGAGGAAAAGGCUGAAUUUGUUAUGCAAACCAUGACAAUAAAGCCAAGUGAAGAAACACAGCAUGUGAGAAGAGAGUAUGAGCAAGUCAUAGAGACAUCAGUCCACAUCCACGAACUGAUGGAGAAGAUUGAUACUGCCAUUGAGGAAGACCAUGGGCCUGCAGGAGAGAAGUCCAGUAAAGAAAGUCAUAGUACUUCGUUAGUGUUAGAUUUACCCGAGUUUCCACCCAAUAACCUGCGUUUAUCACUGCCAGUGACUGAAGAUAAGGAUCUGACUUUAAGUGUGUGUGGAGGUGAGAAAAAGGUUACACCUGCUGCAGACAUGUCUGAAGGCCAACCGGACAAGUCCAUCAUACAUCAUCCAACUUCUGUGUGCAGAAAUGAAGAAAUGUCUGCAGAGCGCAUUAAUCCUCUCAUGAAGGAUGAGUCAAUGUCAUGCGUCAGUGGUUUCAAAAAAGGGAUCCAGAAAGGGAGGGGAGAAGAGGAAAUAGGAAAGGAAAGAAACGAAAAUAGAGUUCAAGAGGACAACGUAGUAGAAGGAGAAGAGGAGCAAUCUGUGAUGAAUGAAACAAGAGUAAAUGAGUGGCAAGCUGUGUUUGAGAAAAAGAUAGAUGAGGAUGUUGAUAGAAAGAUGGAUGAGGAGGAAGAGACAAAGGAAGAAAUAGUGGAAAGAACAAUCCAGUCACCAAAGUCCAUGGGGCGCUCGGUCUCAGUCCCUCAGUCACGCAGUGGGACAGUGGUCAAGAGAGAAAUCACACUCCCAGACACCUUUAGUAUGGCCACUGAUUCAGAUUCACUUGAGGAGGAUGACAUUCAGUCCUUUUCAGAAAUGACAGCUGAUGUCCCGGGCCCAGGUUAAAACAAGGGAAGUAUUGCCCAGAUUAUUUCACUUACACCAGUGUUUCCAGUUCUGCUCAGGGUGAGUUUUUUUUAUUUCCCAACAACACAUUAUUGAACUCAUCAGCUAAAUAAGAAUCUUGUACUGAAUUUUAAAUUGGUGUGUUGGAACAGGAAGAACACUGUGACUCCAGCACUGGGAUUUGUAAACAGCCCCUUAUGCACUAAAAUACCCCCCCGCCAAAAAAAAAAAAGGUUAAAUGUUAUCGAACUAUGUUCAAACUCUUAUGAUCCCAGCCGAGUUGAGAGGGUGUAAACUCGGACCUUGGUACAGCAUCUCAGACUGCCCACACUGUCCUGUCCUGUCACUGUGACCUGGCUGGGAAAUCAGUCAAAUUUUCUCUUUUCUUUUUAACUUCAUUCGGUUGUUGUUGUAAACAAAAACCGACAGCACACUUUCUUCAUGUUAUGCAUCUUUUUUACAACAUAUUUUUUUAAUAAAAUAAGAACAAUUCUGUUCAUACAACGCUGUCGAGAAGAAUAUAACCUGGAAAUUAUUACAUUUAAAGGCUGUAAAUACUUUGAUCUGCACCAGCACAUCUUGAUGUUUGUUAAAUUUUCACCAAACAGGUUUAUAGAGCAACUAAAAUAAAGCGUACAACAUACCAGCUUAGACUUCUCAUCACCUGCAGUUUGACCAGUGACCGAGAAGUCACUGCUUAAAUCUGCUACCAGAAGCAAAUUUAUAAACUGAAACAAGGUUUGAUUACAAGUCUUCCAUUGUAAAUAAUAAUAAUAAAAAUAAAUGCAAGUGAGUGAAUAUUUAAUGUCUCAUAAAUGAUCACCCUGCAUCAAUAUACUCGCUAACAAAGAGCACAACUGAAUGAUGUAUUUUGACAGCUGAGAUAUUCAUAUCAGUGUGUCCACAUAGCUAUUAUUAGACAUUGUCAUAAUAACGUAAUUUUUCAAGCAUGCAAUACCUUUCAGUUUCCUCAUUUUCAAAAUCGUAUCUGAAACAUGAGCUUGUAAUUAUCAGUAACCAGCAGAAAAUAUAUCAUGUCAGAGAUGCAAAAACGUAAUAAAUGUAUAUUUAUUUUAGCAAGCAAUCUUCAGACUGUACAAAGGAAAAUGCAACAUUAUAUAAUUACUUGACAUUUAAUCGUGCAAUUCUAUUUGCUUGAUUACAAUCACUUUGCAAAUGUCACAUACGAGUGUGUGUAAUUUCCUGCAGAGUCUGUGCGGUAAAUGAGCUUUCAGAUGGUGGUGUGCCUUUGGACGCAGAAAUGUCAAAAUGUAUUGUGUGUUGUUUGUAUAUUUGUAUAGUUCAUACGUCACUAAAUCUUCCUUGACAAGUUAGAGAAUUGUGUUAUUGGUUACUCUUUUGCAUGCUCUAGUAGGUUCCACCUGAAGUUCUUCCAUUAGAGCACCGUCAGUAUUGGUAAUUCAUUAACACUGGUUAAUGUUAUACAGGAGGAACAGCUACAUGAGAACUUCAAUAUGAUACAACACACUGUCGUAAAUAUUAAGCUGAUUUGGGGCACUCAGGCUGUGCUCUAUCGAUGAUGCAAAUUAAUCCAAUAUCUGUGGGCGUUUGGGGAGAAAAGACUCACACGUACAUUUUAACAGUAAGUGGCCAAUAUCAUCAGUGUUUAGGUUCAGAACAUAAAUGACUAUGGUGUUGUAAAAUACAGUACCAGCCAAAACUUUGGACGCACCUUCUAAUUAAACGUUUUUUCUUUAAUUUUAUUAAAUAAAAGACGCUUCAUGUCUUAAAAGUAAUGAUGGAUGUCGUUCCUCUUUACAUAGUUGAGCGGUUCUUGAUGUAAUAUGGAUUACUACAGUUGUGAAAUCGGGUUAUUUACUGUAUUUUUAUUAUUUUGAUCUCGAAGGCAAGAAUUUGCACUAAUUAACUAGACGAGGCACCUGUUAAUUGAAAAGCGUUCCAGGUGACAACCUCAUGAAGCUGGUUAAGAUAAUGCCAAUAGUGUGCGAAGCGUCAUCAAGGAAAAUAGUGGCUACUCUGAAGAAUCUAAAAUAUGAAACUUUUUUUUUUGGGGGGGGGGGUUACGCUUUUUUGUUUAUCACAUAAUUCCAUACACGAUCCAUAUGUUAUUUCAUAGUUUUGAUGUCUUCAGUAUUGUUCUACACUGUAGAAAACAGUCAACAUACAGAAAAAAAACCUAUGAAUGAGUAGGGGUGUACAAACUUUUGGCUGGUACUGUACAUUUCUUUUAAUAAGCCUUUCUAUUUUCAUACAGAAGUUGUGUGUAUAUGUAUGUAUGUAUGUACAGUAUGUAUGUAUGUGUUCUUGUGUAAGUCACUGUUGCUGUGUGUUGAUUAAUUAUUCUGUGUCGGCAUGAGAUAAGCAGUAUAUUAUGGGUAAAACUGAGGAUUCAGGUUUUGCAUAUUAUUGCAUUUGGUACUAUAUAAUAAAAAUCAUUAUAUUUCAAAA